UACAGAGGGUGCGAGCGUUAAUCGGAUUUACUGGGCGUAAGGGGUGCGUAGGCGGUUUGUUAAGUCUGUUGUGAAAUCCCCGGGCUCAACCUGGGAAUGGCAAUGGAUACUGGCAAGCUAGAGUGUGUCAGAGGAUGGUGGAAUUUCCGGUGUAGCGGUGAAAUGCGUAGAGAUCGGGAGGAACAUCAGUGGCGAAGGCGGCCAUCUGGGACAACACUGACGCUGAGGCACGAAAGCGUGGGGAGCAAACAGG
rnacentral:rRNA from 1 species